rnacentral:rRNA from 1 species
AUUGAACGCUGGCGGCAUGCCUUACACAUGCAAGUCGAACGGCAGCACGGGAGCAAUCCUGGUGGCGAGUGGCGAGCGGGUGAGUAAAGUAUCGGAACGUGCCCAGUCGUGGGGGAUAACGUAGCGAAAGUUACGCUAAUACCGCAUACGAUCUAUGGAUGAAAGCGGGGGGUCGCAAGACCUCGCGCGAUUGGAGCGGCCGAUAUCAGAUUAGGUAGUUGGUGGGGUAAAGGCUCACCAAGCCGACGAUCUGUAGCUGGUCUGAGAGGACGACCAGCCACACUGGGACUGAGACACGGCCCAGACUCCUACGGGAGGCAGCAGUGGGGAGUUUUGGACAAUGGGCGAAAGCCUGAUCCAGCCAUGCCGCGUGCAGGAUGAAGGCCUUCGGGUUGUAAACUGCUUUUGUACGGAACGAAAAGGUUUGGCCUAAUAAGCUGAGCUCAUGACGGUACCGUAAGAAUAAGCACCGGCUAACUACGUGCCAGCCGCCGCCGUAA